GUACCGGUUUCUCGCGCCGCCAAGUCGUAAACCCCGUCAGGCCCGGGAGGGAGCAGCGGUAGCGAUAGAUGCGGGUGCCGAGAGUCAGCUGGUACAGA
rnacentral:SRP_RNA from 1 species